ACGGAGCGACGCCGCGUGCAGGAUGAAGUCUUUCGGGAUGUAAACUGCUGUCAGGGGUUAGGAAAUUUGACCAGCCCCAGAGGAAGCACCGGCUAACUCCGUGCCAGCAGCCGCGGUAAUACGGAGGGUGCGAGCGUUGUUCGGAAUUAUUGGGCUUAAAGCGCGUGUAGGCGGAAUGGAAAGUGUAAGGUGAAAUCCCUCGGCUCAACCGGGGAAUUGCCCUGCAAACUUCCAUUCUUGAGGCAGGUAGAGGUGACUGGAGCGACUGGUGGAGCGGUGAAAUGCGUAGAUAUCAGUUGGAACGCCUGAGGCGAAAGCGGGUCACUGGGCCUGUCCUGACGCUGAGACGCGAAAGCGUGGGGAGCGAACAGGAUUAGAUACCCUGGUAGUCCACGCCGUAAACGAUGCGCACUAGGUAUGAGAGGUUCUGACGCCGAUCGUGCCGUAGGAAAACCGAUAAGUGCGCCGCCUGGGGAGUACGGCCGCAAGGCUAAAACUCAAAGGAAUUGACGGGGGCUCACACAAGCGGUGGAGCAUGUGGAUUAAUUCGAAGCAACGCGAAGAACCUUACCUGGGUUUGACAUGCACGGAUGCCCUUUUGGAAACAAGAGUAAGCUGCCUUCGGGUGAAACGUGCACAGGUGCUGCAUGGCUGUCGUCAGCUCGUGCUGUGAAGUGUCGGGUUAAGUCCCUCAACGAGCGAAACCCCUAUCGUUAGUUG
rnacentral:rRNA from 1 species